rnacentral:lncRNA from 1 species
CUCUUGUUGCCUUGUGAGGAAGGUAUGUGUUUCUCCUUCGCCUUCUGCCAUGCGUGUAAGUUUCCUGAGGCCUCCCCAACCAUGUGGAACUGUGAGUAAAUUAAAACUUUUUCCUUUAUAAAUUAUCCAGUCUUGCUAUCUUUAUAGCCAGGUGAAAAUGAACAAAUAGACUUUUAACAGCAAAAUAAAGGAAAAUGAAAAACCUUCUCUCCAGAGGUGACCACAAUUAACAACUUGGAAUAAAUAAGUAAUAUUUAAUUGGUUGCCAAAUCUUUGACACAUCUGAGUUACUUUUAAUCAUUGUAGGAAUUCAUAUAUUCUAAGCUUUUAUAAGCUGAACUCCAAACAAUAAAACUAAGAGGAAGAAAUUAUCGUGUUGCAUAAAACGAGUUAUAAAUUGUUCUUGUACACUUUAUAACAUCCUUCUAGUGUGUGAAUUUCGGGUUUUCUGAGUUUUAGCUAAAUCUGUGUAAGAAUGACAUAUUACAAAUUAAUAAUGGGAUUAACUGUCUCGUAAGUGCAAAAAGCAAAUUUCUAAAACCUGCCUUAGCCUAUAAAGGCUUCAGCUGUCUACCUCAGCAGGAGGCCAAGAGAACCUGAAUGUUUUGCUAAAAGACCUGUGAGACUGGAAAAAUUCCAAGUUCAAAAUCAUGUGCUUUUGGAAGAAACAUAUGCUUAACAUUCUGCAAGGAUCUUUCAGAAAAUAGAAGGAUUUUCUAUCAGGAUACUUAGAAAGUGAGAUGUAUAUGUCAGGCUCUGCAACAUUUAAAAAUAGCCUGUUUUCUCCAACAAAUGGUAUACAGUUUUUUUUAUAGAUAAUGUUUUGAGAAAAUGAAAAUACUCCUAUAUGAAUGAACUUUCAAAGCUAUUUUCUGAGCUGUUAAGCAUUUUCUGUGUGUGUGUUUAACACUUUGUUAUAAAGAGCAAAUCACUUGAAAAGAAGAUUCUUUUUCAUAGUCUUACUUGCAAUGUGAGUUGAAAAAUACUUUCAGCUUUCACUACUCAGUUGUUAUGGGGUAUCACUCUUUCUGGCUUGUCUCCCGGCCGUUUUCUUAUUCUUUUACUUUACUUUUCUUUCUUUCUUUCUUUCUUCUUCUUCUUUUUUUUUUUUUUUUGACACGAAGUCUUCUUCUGUUGCCCAGGCUGGAGUGCAGUGGUGCGCUCUUGGCUCACUGCAACCUCUGCCUCCAAGGUUCAAGCGAUUCUCAUGCCUCAUCUUCCUGAGUAGCUGGGAUUACAGGCGUGCACCACAAUGCCUAGCUAAUUUUUUUUGUGUUUUUAGUAGAGACGGGGUUUCACCAUGUUGGUCAGGCUGGUCUAGAACUCCUGACCUCAGAUGAUCUGCCUGCCUCGGCCUCUCAAAAUGCCAGGAUUACAGACGCGAACAACUGCGCCUGGCCCAUUUUCUUUAUUUUAUGUGGAGAGGGUUUCUUAUCAGCAUGUGAUUUAUAUCUUUGUGCAGAUUAGCUGCUAAAAGGGACAGGAAGAAAGUAUUAUAAAGCUUUGCUGUGUUCUCUAGUGGGAGGGUACUGGUGGGUAGAAACAUGCUUUGUUUCCCAAAUACACAACCAGCCUUGGUAGAUGGGGACAGAGGCAUAUGGUCUCUACUGGAAGUUACUUGCAGAGCCUACUUACUGUUAGACUUACGAGGACGAAAGAAUCUUGAAAUGUCUUCUAAUCUGCCCCCGUGUUCAGGUAGAACAUUGCAUAAGCAUUGUCUUUUAAUGUCUUAUUUUCCUUCUGUUCUUCUUUUCCUUUUCUCCUCUCAGUCCCCCCACUCCAUCCUUCCUUCUGCCAUUUCCUUGUCCCUCCUUCUUCCUCUCAGGGAAAUUAUUCAUCCUCUUUUCAGAUUGCCCCUGAGUUGGCCAGAGUUCAAGGGAGAGGACCCUGGCUCAGGGAUCACAAGAUUUAAACCCAGAGCAGGUGGAAAAGUGGCUCUUUAAUGAGAUCACAGAUAAGAUACACAAAUUACAAAAAAUUAUUGAUUGGCUCAUGCUCUGGUCUAAUUCCAGUUUAGGAACCAAGUCUCAUGCACUUGUACUGGUUGUAAGGAAAUCACCAUGUUUAUGGUGUGAAUGAGGAUUAAACUGGGACCCAAGGCAUCUUUGGAAGAGGCUGGGGCAAGAAGCCAACUGGCCGCUCCACCACCCCUGACAUUUUGGAGUUCAUACUUCUCUUGGUUCACUUUCCCCAGAGGUUACCACAUCAGCACUCAGAGAUUGUCUCUGUCUUAGUGCUGCCAAAUACACUGCCAGGAACUGGUGCUUUCUUUUUUAUUAGUUGUAGUUUCUGAGGAGUAAUUAUAGCUUUUCCUUUCUGAGAAUGAUGUUUUCAGGACAUAAACAUACUCCACACCUGUUUUCUGUAACGUUGUCAGAAGAUAGCCCUCAGCUGGCAGCUCCCUCUGGAAACUGCCCAUGGCUGUUCUUGGUGGAGGCAGCUUGCAUUAGUGACUAACUUAGGAGGAAUCUAAGGCCAGGUGCUCCUGCUGCCACGCAGGACAAUUCUGAAGGUCCAUUUUGGCUUUAUUGUGCCUCCAUGUGAGGCAGGACAAUAGGGUCUGGAGGCAGGGAAACCAAGGCCAAUUCAUGCCAACUUCCUAGAAAUAAAAGGAAAGCCCCGACUUUCCACACCUAAGUAACAAAAGGACCAGAGGCUACUUACUUUGCAACGUCGCUACCCCCGUCCCCCAUCCCCCCCUUGCUUUCUACAACCAAUCAGACACUUGUUUAGGGUGUAACCUUUGUAACUUCAGCCUCUGAUUGCAGACCACUACUUCAUUUACUUAGGGUGUACACCAAGUAACCAAUGAAACCUUUAGAGGGUGUUUAAACCCCAGAAAAUUCUGUAAGGAGAACUCUUGAGCCGGCUCCCCCUCAGUGGAGUGUACUUUCAUUUUCAGUACAGCUCUGCUUUUGUUGCUUCAUUCUUUCCUUGCUUUGUGCGUUUUGUCCAAUUCUUUGUUCAAAAUGCCAAGAACCUGGACACCCUCCACUGGUAAUACAUGGAGUGGGCUGAAGCCUUUGUUGAGGCUGUAUCACUGCUCAGCUUCUCUUUCUCAGUCCUGGUCCCUUCUCCUUCCUUUCACAGGGCUUAAUCCCACGAGCAUUCUCUAAUAAAUGUGCUGCGUGUGAAUCCCUGUUUCAGAGUCUCUCCAGGGAACCUAACCCGUAAAAAUUAUCUUUUCUUAAUCUUGCCAGGGAAGACAAUCAUGCACAAAAGUAAAAACCCUCCAAACAGAAAAAGUCUCAUAAAUUACUGGCAUUACAAUACAUUACACAGGCUGGUGCUUUAGCAUGCCAAGGUCAAGUUCUCAUUCUCUUUGGCUGGGCUACAAGAAUGGGUGGGUAGAACCCCAAACAACUGGGUAGAAGAACAGAGAUUCAGACUUUCUCAUAGAAAAGAAAUUUCCAGAACUGACUCAAUACCAAGCUACAUCGGAGGCACCUUCAUGCAGGGGCUAAGGGGAUAGACUCUGUGGACAGAAUACCUUAGUUUGCAUUCUGGCUCUGCUAGUCACUGUGUCUCCAUGCCAUACUCCUCUCAUUUGUAAAAUGAGAACAGUAGUGGUACUUUAUAGGGUUAUGAGAGACUGAAUGUACAAAUAGACAAUGGCCAGACCAUAUGCAGAAAUAGUACCCUUACGGUCUGCAGCAACUAGCCCAAAAACCAACCCAUUAAGCCCAUGAAGCUAGCCUGCCUACAAGUCAGCUUUGUAUGAAAUCAGACCACAAUCUCUAACAAACAGUCCAGGAAGUCAAACAAUAACUGCUGUAACAACUGGCCCCAAGUGGCCAGGACUUGAUAAAUGACUGACAGCUUCCCCAGUUUUUGUUCCUGAUUCCAAUAUGCAACCAACCAGGGAAAGUUAAAUAUGCUCCCUAUAGGAUGCUCUGCUCCUAGUCAGCCCACCCACAGCUUCCCCAUACCAACGUCCUUCAAUCAGAACAUACCAGAAGCUGUCCCUUCUUUCUACUAUGAAGCUUUCCCAUUUUUCUGCCUGCCUUUGAGUCUCUGCCAAAACACGUGAUAGUGGUUGACUCCCUUGCUAUAGCAAGCUUUGAAUAAAUAGAUGUCUUUGUCCAUUUUCUGCUGUUAGAAUAGCACAGACUGUGUAAUUUAUAAAGAAGAGAAGUUUAUUUGGCUCACAGUCCUGGAGGCUGGGAAGCCCAGGUUUGAGGGGCCGCAUCUUGGAGAGACCUUUCUGUUGCAUUAUAACAUAGUGGAGAGCAUCACAUGGCAAAGGAGGACAAAAGAGGGUGAGACAGAUAAAGGGGGCCAAACUCCUGCGAUAACUAACCCACUCCCACCAUAACGGUGUUAAUCCAUUCAGGAGGGCAGAGCCCUCAUGACUUAACAGCCUCUUAAAGGUGUCACCUCAUAACACUGUUACAAUGGCAAUACAAUUUCAACGUGAGUUUUGGAGGGGACAUUCAAAUCACAGGAAUUACAUUUGCUUUCUCAUUUGGGUGGUCUUGUUUAUUUCCACAGUUAAUGAGUGAAUGGGUUAACAUUUGUAAACCACUUGGAAACAGUGCCUGGCACAUAAUGCUAUAUAAUACUUUAAAGUAAAAUAAGUAGCAGAUCAUGGUUUAGAGGUGAUACCCAGACUUAAUAAUUUCCUCACAUGUUUUGUUUAAUACUGUAUUUUUUAUUAUAUGAAUCCACUUUAAUUAAUUAAUCAUUUUUUUUUUUUGAGAUGGAGUCUAGCUCUGUUGCUCAGGCUGGAGUGCAGUGGCACGAUCUUGGCUCACUGCAACUUCCGCCUCCUGGGUUUAAGCAAUUCUCCUGCCUCAGUCUCCCGAGUAGCUGGGAUUACAGGUGCACACCACCAUGCCCAGCUAAUUUUGUAUUUUUAGUAGAAACGGGGUUUCACCAUGUUGGCCAGGCUGGUCUCAAACUCCUGACCUCAGGCGGUCCACCUGCCUUGUCCUCCCAGAGUGCUGGAAUUACAGGCAUGAGACACCACGCCUGGCCCUAAUCCACUUUUAUUUCUGAGGACUCCUGAUUUUCAGAAGUUCUUAAGUGGAGAAAUUGACCUACGUAGUCGGUAGAGGGUUCUAUAGCAGACACCAGGCCUGACAGGUGUCCCUUCCUUUGCUCCAGAUGGCUUCCAGGAGGGCUUUUUCAACACCCCAUCUCUGUAGGUUCUGGUGUUAAUUUCUCAAGUGUCCUAUUGAUGCCUUUGAUUCUAUCUGUCUUCUGGGCCCAAGACCCUUGGUUCUGGAAGGCUCUCUUCCCAUGUUGUACUAUUUUGUGGAUCCCAUAAUCUACUUUUAUCCAUCAUGAUGCCAUGUUCACAUGUCAAUUACACUAUCCUUUUCAGCCUUGUCUGAUGGGAAAAUUCCUCCAGGAAAUUCUACAUACACCAAUAAAAUUCUAUAUAUGCCCAUUUAUAUCUCUGAUCUAUUAGCCUACCAGAAUUAUCCUAUAAAAUACCUAGAUAUGUAGAGAAAUUUGCAACUCUGGUUUCUACUUCCAGAUUAUAGCAGGCAGAAACUUUGGCUCUUGGCCCAUUGAGUUACUCUUGAUCUGUUUCAGUGUUCCAGACUGGGACUUAGGGGCAAAAUGAGGCCUUGUCCUUGGCCUCGAAAAAGGUCAAAAUUUUACUUCAGAAAACUGGCAUGUCUAGGUUUCAGAUUGUCCUGGGUCUUCUGGUGUCCUGAGCACAUUGAGGCUUAUUCUUUUGCUUUUGGUUGUCUGUACCAGCCGCUUAUACAGGGCCAGUUCUGACCUGGAGGGUGAUGGCAUGGAAUUUAAGACUGGUGACUUGGGGGUUUAUGGGAAUAUGUAUGAAUUCCAGUUUAGUUCCAAUUAGUGGCUCUGAAUUUUCUUUCCCUUGAUAUGGUCAGAUUAUGCUGUGAUAUUGGCAGAAAUGAGUUCCUGACUUUUUCCCCUAUGGUCUAGAUAGCAGAAAAUCCAGCUCAGCUAGACAUAUAAGCUUGUGCACAGACACUGCUGAAAAUGGUGGCUGAUGUGGGCGCUCUAGGAGACUGGCCCUGUUUUCACAUUAUCGUGGAUCCUAUGGAAAGUGGACACUGGUAAAAGUGUUUCUGGAGGGGUUUAAGAUGGGCCACUGAUGCUCUAAUUUCCCUGGGUCCUGGAGCCCUUGGUUCUGAUAACUGAUAUCCCGGAUCUUCAAGGAGUGUAGACUUUAGGACCACACUAGAGGUCAGGGUCCUGGCCUGGCCUUCAGAUUAUCCCUGGUGGUCCUGAGCUGUACUUGAGCUUAUUUCCUCAAGCUACCCAUCAGAAAACAGGAGCCUUGUUGGGAUGAGCCUAGUUCAUUGCUAAUGAGCUUGACUUAAUUUUGCCCCUAGAAGCUCGAGGAUUUGUUUGGAUUUGGCAUCUCUAUUCAUUUUUUUUUUUUUAAGCAAGCAUGUCUAGUGGACUUAGUUUCAUGCUGGUUGGAGGGAAAAUUAAUCUCUGACCUGAGCAGCCUAAUGGCAGGCCAGCUGGCAUCAAGCUUGGACUCUGAAAGGGAGGCAUUAGGGUUUGGGCUUUGCUCUCUGUAGACAACCAGGUGGCCCCUUGGGAAAGUGAGAUCAACUCUUCAUUGAAAGGAGGUUGAUAUUGAAGAAAAGAACUUUAACAGUGUUUGAAUACUUUUCUUUUCUUUUUUUUUGGUUUGAGAUGGAUUCUCACCCUGUCACUCAGGCUGGAGUGCAGUGGCAUGAUCUCAGCUCACUGCUACCUCCUCCUCCUGGGUUCAAGCGAUUCUCCUGCCUCAGCCUCCCAAGUAGCUGGGAUUACAGGCAUGUGCCACCACACCUGGCUAAUUUUUUAAAAAUAAUAUUUUUGGUAGAUUAGGGGUUUCACUAUGUUGGCCAGGCUAGUCUCGAACUCCUGACCUCAAGUGAUCUGCCCACCUCAACCUCCCAAAGUGCUGGGAUUACAGCCGUGAGCCACUGUGCCCAGCCAGUAUGUGAGUUCUUAAUAGUCAAAGCAAAAGAGCAUGUAGGUAACAAGUUUGUAAUGGAAGAAGGACUAGAAGGAGGUGAUCAGACAUGGUUUAGAACAGUGAUAGUGUGGCUUGAAAGCUGUGGCAUGCAGCUGGUAGCCCAAUGUUGCCAAGAACCACCAUCCAUUUGGAAGCAAACCCUUCCUUAGAGUGGCCUGUUGGAGUCUCCACCCAUGUAGAAUCAGCUUGCAGAGCUGGUUCCUCAAAAGAAAAGCUUUGCAAUGAAUUAGAAGGACAAUUUUAAGAGAAAAGGUGCUCUGCUAGUGACAGCUGACAGCAAAUUUGGAGACCGAAGGACUAUUUCUUUAACAGGUGACUCUGAGUCAUGAAGAAAAAUAUUAUAUUUUACAAAUUCUAAGAAUACAUCUAUAGGAUGCAUUUACAAAGACCAGAUUAUUACAAACAAUUCAAGUAAUAACAAGUUCAAUAACCUAGAGAAUUCACUGACAUGGAGCACCAUUUCUCAGUGUCAAGAUCUGUUGCAAGGACCAUAGUUCCAUCGAACUAGGUUGAAAGAGAAAUCACUGGAAGGAUACUGGGCUCUCUCAGGAAAUGAGAAAGUAGGUAUGGGCCUCAUAGAUGCUAAAACCAAUAACUUAGAGGGUCAGGAAGGAGAAUUCUCUCUUCUUCUCUGAAGCCAGGUAGUCUAUUUUCUUUGCUUUUCUUAAUCUCCCUGAUUCAUGAUUGGCAUUUUCUUUUCUUUUUUAUUUUUUUGAGACAGGGUCUUGUUCUAUCACCCAGGCUGGAGUGAAGUGGCAUGAUCAUAGCUCACUGUAACCUAUAAUGCAUGGACUAAAGUGAUCUUCCUGGCUCAGCCCCCUAAGGAGCUGAAACUACACUCAGGCAUGUGCUAACACAACUGGUUGAUGUUUUUUUUUUUUUUUUUGAGACAGAGUCUCACUCUGUUGGCCAGGCUGGAGUGCAGUGGUGCAAUCUGGGCUCACUGCAACCUCCAACUCCCGGGUUCAAGUGAUUCUCCUGCCUCAGCUUCUCAAGUGGCUGGGAUUACAGGCGGAUGCUACUGCGCCGGGCUGAUUUUUGUAUUUUUAGUAGAGAUGGGGUUUUGUCAUGUUGGCCAGGCUGGUCUUGAACUCCUGACCUCAGACAAUCCGCCUGCUUCAGCCUCCGAAAGUGCUGAGGUUAAAGGCAUGAACCACCAUGCCCGGAUCUUUUUUUUUUUUCCUAUUUUUUAUAGAGUCAGGGCCUUGUAAUGUUGCCCAGCCUGGUCUAGAACUCCUGGCCUCAAGUGAUCCUCCUGCCUUGGCCUCCCAAAGUGCUGAAAUUAUAGGCGGAAACUACUGUGCCUGGCCCUAGAUCAGCAUUUUCUAUUUUAGCAUGCACAUGGCUGUCCCAUCCAAGCUGCAUGUAGCCUUCUAGAUACUCAAUAAGAACUCAGUACAGGCUGUCUGGUCCUCCUGUCUUUUGGAUCCAGUUCUCUCAUGACAUCAUUUGCUUGGCUCAUAGUAUUGGUAUUGGCAUGUAUUGGUUCUUCUUAGGUCAUGUCCCCAGCUCUUGUCCAAUCAGCUGUGGUCAUGGGGGCAAAAUGACUGUAAGAGGAGUUUUAUUCUGUCAUUCAUUCAAUAAAUAUUGAACAUCAAAAAAUUUUGUUUUGGCCAGGUAUUCUAAGUAGCUGGAGUUCAAUCUUGAGCAAAGCAUACAUACAUGGGUCUUGUUGUCAUGGCCUUAUAGUAUAGCAGGGAAGACAGAUAUUAAUGAAAUAUUGUAAAAAUUAUUUAUUUAUUAGAGACAGGGUCUCACUCUGUCGCCUAGGCUGGAGUGCAGUGGUGUGGUCAUAGUUAACUGCAGUCUUGAACUCCUGGCCUCAAGGGGUCCUCCUGCCUCAGCCUCCUGGGUAGCUGGGACUACUGCUGGGACCACUAUUUAUUUUAAAUUUGUAGAGACAGAGUUUUGCUAUGUUGCCCAGGCUGGUCUCCAACUCCUGGCCGCAAGUGAUCCUCCUGUCUUGGCCUCCCAAAGUGUUGGGAUUAUCAGUGUGAGCUGCCAGGCCUGGCCAGAUAUUAAUGCAGUAUGAACACACACGAAUAUGUAACAAGAUGCUGUAGGGUGCUGAACGGGAUCCUGUUUUCUCAAUUUUAUUACUAAGGCUCACAAUAAGGAAAAACCACAGCAAGCAUUCUGUACUCUAAGUUGGAGGGACAAUUAGUGCUCUGGACCAGCCACACCACUCAGGACUUCUUGGGAAGCACUCAGAGAACAGACCCAAAUGCCUCCCACAACACCUGACCCCCCUCCUCUGGAUAUGAGAAGAGGGCCUGGAGGGGGAAGAGGAAUGCCGCCUUUUGGAGGACAGCAGUGUUUGAGAUGUGAAGCUAUUCUUUUCCUUCUCAAGCUGGAGGGAAAGUGGGGAUUUUUUCUUUCCAAAGCCAAGGCAGGGAAGCCCCCAAGAGAACCAUUAGUGAAGGAGCUGCCUUGUAUUCUUAUGAACAGUUCAGUUAAUAACAAGUUAAGUAACAUACAGUAGGGUCUCUAAGCGGGCAUCUGCUCAUCUAGCAGACUUGCUGGGCUGCUGCUGUGUUACUGGAACAGGACAAAGGCUUUCUGGGGAGAGAUCUGUGGCAGGUGGGAAGGAAGUCAAUGUUUCCUUGCCUCAGGCUUCAGGUUAUUGCCAACUACGGAAGUUGGAUAUUACAAGGGCCUACUGGCUGAAGAAUUGGCCAUGAGGGAAGAAGAGAUUGGGGCUACAGAGGCCCUGGGCUGCUACAUUAUGGCAUAAAUUAAUGCACAUUAAAGCCAGCAGCGAUUGGCCCAGUCACUCUAAGAGUCACCAUCUGUUUGGGAAUGAGCCCUCCCUCCGAGGGGCCUGUGGAGUGUCUACCCGCCUACCUGACACUAAAGACCAGAGAUCUAGGAGGGCAGUUAAUGGCCCUUGGGAGAGAAUGCCAAGUUCACUCUUGUUCCUCUUUUUACCCCAAGACCAAAGGAGCAGGUACAAGGAAGAGAAAGAGGGAAGGGGAGGUGCAUGAGAACAGACCCCAGACUGUGUCCCCUACAGCAUCCCCCACCCUCUCACCCUCAGCCACUGGAGCCACAAAGGAGAGAAAGAGACCUGAUCGAAUAUUGACUUAAAUUUUAAAAUGAACAGGACCAAACCUUUAAGAAACAGAACGCAAUUGUUUUCAUCAUGGAAACUGAUCACUAAGAUUAUCAUGGUAUUCAGUGAAAAGGGAUUUUAAAUAAGGGAGUAAGUAAGGGGCUCAGGGUUUGGGGGAGGUGGACAGAAAGCAGAGAGGCAUUGCAACCAUGUGCUCAGCUCCACCUGGCAAGAAACCUACGGAAGCAAGAAAUCAGUGUGAAAUGAAUGCCCUCCAGGGAGACACAAGGAAGGAGUCUGCUGUCAAAGAGAAUACAAAGAAAGAUUUGGGUGUGUGGCUGUAAAAAUUGGCAUUUUGAAUUAGAUUUCUAGUGCACCUUUCAUUCUAAGGGGAGAAAAAUAGGCCCAGGGAGAAGUAACCUCCUUGAUCCCACACGGCCAGUUGCUGGAGAAAGGCAGAGACUAGAAUGCAGUGCUGGGCUGACUUGGAUGGUCAAGUGCAUUCCUUCUCCAACACUUAGCAUCAUUUAGCAUCAUUCCACAAGGGAGUGAGAAGGCAGGGGGGUAUCUGAUGCUGACAACAGUCAUUUCCCCCCUUGUAACAUUCUUCACGGUCAGCCCUGGGAAUCAGAUUUCUGCUUUUUAGGGAAUUCAAGACCAGCUACAGUCACCUAGUAUUCUGUGAACAGGUGCUGGCUUUCUUCUUCUUCUUCUUCUUUUUUUUUUUUUUUAACACUUUAUAUCAUUUAUUAAUGCAGUAUACGUUAGAUCUAAAAUCUGUAGUUUCUAAGCACACUAUGUUUAGAUCUUUCAGAUCCUUCUGCAGUUUUAGGUUAUUUCUACAGAGGUACCUUUAAGUGAAUAAAUAACACAUUCUAUAAUUCCUGAAAAUAUAGAGUGAAAUAAUUUAAAUAUAAUUUGGGCACAUAUUGAUUAUGAAAAUAGAUUAUUUCUCAAUACAAUACUUCUCUGUCUUGGUAAAAAUAAUAAAGCAAAGCAAAUAAUUCAUUUCUGAAGUUGCUUUCCUUCACUUGUAAAGGUCUGAUCUCCUCCCACUAUGCAUAUGUACCCUUUACUGUUAAGGAAAGCUUUGCAUAUGUAGAUAUAGAAGAAUAAGCUACAUAAAUACUAAAGAUAUGUCAUUCUCCCAAAGGAGACACGGGUUUUUCAAUGAUUCCUUGCCUCAUGUUGAUGAGUCUGUAGAAUUCAGAACCCAUUUGGACACAGCUAAUAUCCCUGCUCUUGCGGUAGAAAUAAGGACACCAGGUCACUGGUAGGGAGGUACAGGCCCUUCCUCUGCUGCUGCAGAGAGGUAAUGACUCGAGAAAACUAGGCUAAAAUUUGUUUAAAAAAAAAAAACCUAAAAAAUAAGUAAAAGAAUCACAGGUGCUGACUGAUUGGUAUUACAUCUUGGACCAGCCAAAUGCCUUUAUUUUUACUUUAUAUAUAUUUUUUGGUGGCUGUAAUCAAAUGUGUUUAAAAUUCCUCAUUCCCAACUGUGGGGUUCUAGCUGCAAUUAUAUUACAUUGCCUUUUAACAGGCAACUCUACCAUCUUCAUUCAUAUAAGCUUUGAUUGCAGUAGCUCUGGAUUUAGUAUCUAUUUCUAAGCUGGCCCUAUAUAAACUAUUUGGUAUUUGAAUUAAAUGAAUAUUAAUGACAGACCUUGGUUUUUUGGUUUUGAAGUAUCUUCCUAUGCUUGUGAUGAUUGUAUGAGAAAACUAGGCUAAUAUUGUAAAUAGAUAGAAUUGCUUGGUCUGGUGUUGCGUGGAACUUGUCUAGAAUGAAAUUCUGAGAAAUUCUCAUUUAUAAGUGUUGUAGUGAUAGGUAAGUUCUUCAUCCAUCCGGAGUUCCACUGUACCUUUGGAAUGACAGUGAUGUACAAUGAUGUCUUUCUUUCCACUCUGUCUCAAUCAGUAAGAACUGGCUAUUACUUUAAUUUAGCUACUGUUUUGCCCUAAAAAGUAAACAUUAUGAAAAUGAGCCUGAAAAGAGUCUUAGGGAGUCUGAUCUCACCAUAUUCAUACGGUGUGACAGGUAUUUAAAGAGGGGAGGCAUCACUAAAGCUAUUUAUGAACCUGAACAAUGUUUUUCAAGUUUUCAUAAAGUUUUAACAAUUUAAAUAUCUAUACUGCAUCUAGGUAUUCAAUAAAUAUAAUUGCAUAUGUUGUGCUUUCCAUAAAUUAAAAUCCUCAAAUGCCUCUCAAACCAGGAUGGUAUUUCCACAUCAUGCCUAUUUAAAAGCAAACAUAAUAGAUACUAUUCCUGGCCAUAAAACCAGGUAAACCACCCUACCCCGUUCAAAAGGCAGAAACAUCUAGUUUCCCUACAUAUAUUGAAUGAGUGCUUUUGUGUUACAAAUCAGAAUAUGGAAAAAAAGGUCAGUUUUUUCUCUUAUGUACCGCUGAGAACAAGCAUAAUCCUCUAAAUGUUUUUUUAAAAAAUUUCCUUACAGUGUUGUUUCUUCUAGACAACUGAGUGGGUAGAGAAAGAAAAGUGAUAAGGAAAACAUUUUCAUUUUCUACAUCUUCCUCCAGCCCCUAAAAUUCUCAUCUGACACUUUGUGACAUGUGUAAUGGUGUCAGCAUCUCUUCAAAUAUAGCUCCCUUCACGUUGGACCCUCUGAGGUUGGCUUCUUGAAGAUCACACCCAGACAGAUCACAGUUCUCUAAAUCAGUGCCUGCCAGAGUUGCUCCUCUGAAGUUACAGUUCUUCAACUUUGGAUUUUUUUAAGGUAGCCACUCUCAGGUUAAUUCCUGUCAUCUGACUUCCUUCCAUAUCAGCACCUUUCAGAUUAGCACCUUCUAAAUUGGCUUUAAGAGCAGAAGGAUCCUCAAAAUUACACAGUUUCAGGGAUGCUCCUUCUGCAUUAGAACAGAGCAUCUUGACUCCCUGGAGAUUUGCACAGUCAAGCACUGAUCCAGAGAGAUCAGCUCGUUCAAGAUUUGCACAGCAAAGAUUUGCAUGUGCAAGACUGCAGCGGCUUAAACUGGCAAUUUUGAAGUUAAUGUAUCGAAGGUCCAAACAAGAAAGAUCAGCACCACUGAAGUUCAAACCCUGGCAUCGCAGUUCUGACUUGGUUGGAGUUGCUAGCAAAAAUUGGACAAAUUCCUUUCGGGGUAUUGGUGAAUGAUCCUCCGGUGGUUGAGAAUUCUUUAUUGCCACUUCUAGGUGUUCAAUCAAUGAAUAAAUUUCAAAAAAUCUUGCUGCUUCUAACACACCCAAUAAAUUAAUGCCAUUAUUUACAAUGAGCUGUCCACAAAGCAAGUAAUUCAAAAUGGGUUCAAAGUACACAGGACUUCGGUCAAUUAAGAAAGCUCCUCUAUGAUCUUGCUUAUUUCCCCAGACACCUUUGUCCUUAAACAUGUGGACCAGCAUACUGUCAGGUUCUUUAUUCACUGAAGUGCUCCGUGUAGUUGUAAAGUACCGCCCCUCCAACAUUUAAUGUCAGCCAGUCUGUGUGGAAUCCUAACAAUCCUUCAGGAGGCUUAGAAUCUGCCUGAGGAUCUUCCGUUCUUGGGGCUGCCAUUCAGGAACAGGGCCACCCGCCUCAUCGCGCUGCCCCUGCUGGGUCCUGAGUGAGCCGCCACCCUCCCACCUGGUCCUCCUCCCACCUUUUUCUCCUUCCGCCCUUCCCCUCCCUCUACCCUCUCGGAUUCGCCUCCCUUUGCCACCUUCCUGCCCUUGGAGAAUACCACACACACACCCGCUUUCUUCUAAUGGUAUUACCAAGAUUAAUGAGCUAAACAGAACAUACAUUGAAAGCAUUGUGAUUAACUGACUUGUAACAACUGCCUAAUGGUUCUCUUAUAUUUUUGGGUUUAUUGUAAAUAACAAAAUGGCACCUCAAGUGGUUGAAUCUCAACUACUUCAAGGUUUAUUCUCAGGUCAGGUACUUUAUCCUCAAGGUUUUAUAAGUAUAUUCCCCUCAUUUAUAUUUCAUUCAUUCAUUCAUUCCCCAGACAUUUAUUAAACAGUUUCUUUGUUUAAUAAAUCUUAGGCUCUAAGAUGGGUACAAUAUUGUCCAUUGACUUUGCAGCUCACUGUCUAGUAUGGGAUAAAAGUCUGUAGACAAAUAAUAGCCAGUAGAGUGUGCUAGCUGCUACCUUAGAGGUGUAGUAAAAGUGCAAAGAGUGGUUGGAAAAAAAAAUCUUUGAAGAGAUAUGAGUCUUGAAGUUGGAAAAAAGCAGAAGGGGGUACUCCAGGGAGAGAGAUUAUGAUGGGGAAAUGUGGAGGUAUGGCUGCAUGUCAUGAUUAGAAACUGCAAGAUUUAUUCUGUUACAAAGAUACAUCCACAUGUGUGUUUAUUGCAGCACUAUUCAUAAUACCAAAGACAUGGAAUCAACCUCAAUGCCCAUAAUUGAUAGAUUGGAUAAAGAAAAGGUGGUACAUAUACACCAUGAGAUACUAUGCAGCCAUAAAAAGGAAAGAGAUCAUGUCCUUUGCAGGGAUAUGGAUGGAGCUGGAAGCCAUUAUCCUCAGCAAACCCACGCAGGAACAGAAGACCAAACACUGCAUGUUCUCACUUAAAAGUGGGAGCUGAACAAUGAGAACACAGGGACACAGGGAAGGGAACAACACACACUGGGGCCUGUUGGAGGGUGGGGUCGGGGGAGGAAGAGCAUUAGAAAAAGUAGCUAAUGCAUGGGGGGCGUAAUACCUAGGUGAUGGGUUGAUGGUACAGCAAACCACCAUGGCACAUGUUUAUGUAACAAUCCUGCACAUGUACCCCAGAACUUAAAAUAAAAAUAAAAAUUUAAAAAAGGAAAGAAUUUUUUUUAUCCCAACCUCUAGACCACUUGGGAAGAUUAGUGUGUAUGGAUGAAGCACAGGGUUCAAAAUUAGGAAUGACAGUAGAUAAGGGUGGAAAGGGGAGGCUGAUGCUGGAUCACCGGGACUGGAAAUGCCAUGCCGAGGACUUGACACUUGAUCCUGUACUUUGUAGGGAGCCACCCACUGAACAGCUUACUAGAAAAUGUGCUUCUUAGAAAAUGUCACCCAGAUGGCUGUAUGAAGAGUGGAUUAAGGGUGACAAGAAUGGAGGCAGGAUUAACAGUUUGGCUUAUUAAAAAAAAAAAAAUCAUUGGUAUUUAACCUCAUCCCCAAAGAACUUAAAAUACUUUAUAAAAAUAAAGAGCAAGAGAACAAAGCAUUUUAUGAAGAAAUUGGGGGGUAGAUAGGGAGAGAAAGAGGACUCUUGGGGUAAAAUUAUACAUUAAAAUGCAUGUCCCAGGCAGGGCGCGGUGGCUUAGGCCUAUAAUCCCAGCACUUUGGGAGGCCAAGGCAGACAGAUCACUUGAGGUCAGGAGUUCGAGACCAGCCUGGGCAACAUGGUGAAACCUUGUCUCUGCUAAAAUACAAAAAAUUAGCCAGGCAUGCUGGUGGGCGCCUAUAGUCCCAGCUACUCAGGAGGCUGAGGCACGAGAAUUGCUUGAACCUGGGAGGCGGAGGUGGCAGUGAGCCAAGAUUGUGCCACUGCACUCCAGCCUGGGUGAUAGAGUGAGAUUCCUUCUC